AAUAGGUAUGAACACCCAUUUCAUACAUUAAGUCAGAAAGGUCUGUGACCCAUGUGUGAAAGAGUGGGCAGUCCUGGAGAAAAGUGUCUGCUGUGAUUGGUAGAUAUAAAAAUUAGGGGAGGUGACACAAGAGAAAAAGAUCUUUAAAUAGUGGAAACAGAGACACAUGGGAGGAUUCAGUCAGUCACUCUGAGUUGAACAUUCAUCAAUUAGUCACUUGGGCUUGGAGUGAAGAUCAUCAGUCACUCAGAGUUGGACUGGAAGACAGCCACUUGGACUUGGAGUGAAAACAGUCACUCGGCACUGGAGGGAAGACAGACACUCAGACUUGGAGUGAAGACACUUGGCUAUGGAACUGGACCCCUGGAGGAGCUUGCACAGGAGACCUCAGACUGCCUUCCUUUUAGGCAGUCACCAUGGAGAAUGCCCAAAGGACCACUGAUGCUGGAAUUCCAGUUAAGCAGAAAUAGGUUUUCUUGGCAAAGAUACUGGAGUGGUGUGCCAUUUCCUUCUCCAGUUCAUUUUUUCAGAUGAGAAAACUGAAGUAAAUGGGGUGAAGUGACUUGUCCAGGAAAUGACCAGAAAGGGGGAUUGGAAGGGAGGACUUGAGAGGAGGUAAGGAAGAACAGAGAUGAGACAAGGGAUGAACUUAAACUUCUGGGAGGGGAGUUCUAUAAGUAUUUCACUUGCUCACGUGAUUUUCCUUACUUUUUUUUAUCAAGACCUUAAAGAAUGAAGAGAACACCUCCUUUGUAUUAGGUUUCAGUUAAUCGAGGCCAAGUAAAAAGAGCUAAAAUUCAGCUCUCCCACUGGUCAUCUCUAACCUUGGGCAAAUCACCAAAGCUCCUGGUGCUUCCAUUCUAAAGGAUAAAAGGAGGGGACUGGAUUAGAUCUGGUAUAUUGAUUUAGAAAACCACAAAUUAACAUUAUCUCUAUUGUAAUAUUUUUUAUUUUAUUAAACAUUUCCCAAUUACAUUUUAAUCUGGCUCUAGUCCUGUCAGGAAUUUUACAGGGCACAUUUGACUGAGAGGGCAAAGUUUGAUACCUCUGGAUUAGAUGAUCUCUAAAGUCCCUUCCUGGAGAAGGAAAUGACCAACCACUCCAGUAUAUCUGCCAAGAAAACCCUAAAAAAGGGUCAUAAAGAGUCAGACAUGACAGAAAACAACUGAACAACACAGCAAAGGUCUCUUGCAGUUCUACUUCUUAUAAUCUAUAUUUCUUCUACA
rnacentral:lncRNA from 1 species